UACGUAGGGGGCAAGCGUUGUCCGGAUUUAUUGGGCGUAAAGAGCGUGUAGGCGGCCAGGUAGGUCAGCUGUGAAAACUCGAGGCUUAACCUCGAGACGCCGGCUGAAACCCUCUGGCUAGAGUCCGGAAGAGGAGAGCGGAAUUCCUGGUGUAGCGGUGAAAUGCGCAGAUAUCAGGAAGAACACCGGUGGCGAAGGCGGAUCUCUGGGCCUUGCCUGACGCUGAGGCGCGAAAGCUAGGGGAGCGAACAGG
rnacentral:rRNA from 1 species